rnacentral:piRNA from 1 species
UGGGUGUUGGCUAAAUGUUUUCGGAUUAAGC